rnacentral:rRNA from 1 species
CGCUGGCGGCAGGCCUAACACAUGCAAGUCGAGCGCCCCGCAAGGGGAGCGGCGGACGGAUGAGUAACGCGUGGGAACGUACCCUUUGCUACGGAAUAGCCUCGGGAAACUGGGAGUAAUACCGUAUGUGCCCUUCGGGGGAAAGAUUUAUCGGCAAAGGAUCGGCCCGCGUUGGAUUAGGUAGUUGGUGGGGUAAUGGCCUACCAAGCCGACGAUCCAUAGCUGGUUUGAGAGGAUGAUCAGCCACACUGGGACUGAGACGCGGCCCAGACUCCUACGGGAGGCAGCAGUGGGGAAUCUUAGACAAUGGGCGCAAGCCUGAUCUAGCCAUGCCGCGUGAGCGAUGAAGGCCUUAGGGUUGUAAAGCUCUUUCAGUGGGGAAGAUAAUGACUGUACCCACAGAAGAAGCCCCGGCUAACUCCGUG